AUGUGUCUAAGCUUUUACAGGGAAAUGUGCCAUGUUAUUUUCACCUUCCAGAAGACUGUCUUUACUGCAGGAACACAAGCUGCAGCUUCCUUUGAUUUCAACGGAGUUCUUCAUGUUCAUCAGGAAUGUGACAGGAUCAAAGGCAAGUUGUUGUGUAUGAAUAGAGGACAUGUCCUCAAACAGAAUACAGAAGGAGGACAAAAUAGACACUUAGUAUUUUUACCUCCAUAUCGACAGCAGAAUAACAAACAAUACUUUAACUCCAUUUUUUAAUGUUGAGGCAAGGAUGCUUCUUCAAGUUGAUCCUAAAUUUCCCUCUACUGUGGUGAGUGGAAGUUUUGUUUCUUUUGUUUCUUUAGUGAGU
rnacentral:lncRNA from 1 species